GAUGAACGCUAGCUACAGGCUUAACACAUGCAAGUCGAGGGGUAGCACGGAGGAAGCUUGCUUCCUUGGGUGACGACCGGCGCACGGGUGAGUAACGCGUAUCCGACCUACCCAUUACUCGGGCACAGCCGCUCGAAAGAGUGAUUGAUUCCCGAUAUGUCCUUGGAGUAGAUUCAAUGAUGAAAGAUUUAUCGGUAACGGAUGAGGAUGCGUACGAUUAGCUUGUUGGCGGGGUAACGGCCCACCAAGGCUACGAUCGUUAGGGGUUCUGAGAGGAAGGUCCCCCACACUGGAACUGAGACACGGUCCAGACUCCUACGGGAGGCAGCAGUGAGGAAUAUUGGUCAAUGGGCGCGAGCCUGAACCAGCCAAGUAGCGUGAAGGAUGACUGCCCUACGGGUUGUAAACUUCUUUUGUUUGGGAAUAAAUGAUACUACGUGUAGUAUUUUGCGUGUACCUUACGAAUAAGCAUCGGCUAAUUCCGUG
rnacentral:rRNA from 1 species